GAUGAACGCUGGCGGCGUGCCUAAUACAUGCAAGUCGAGCGAACAGACGAGGAGCUUGCUCCUCUGACGUUAGCGGCGGACGGGUGAGUAACACGUGGAUAACCUACCUAUAAGACUGGGAUAACUUCGGGAAACCGGAGCUAAUACCGGAUAAUAUAUUGAACCGCAUGGUUCAAUAGUGAAAGACGGUUUUGCUGUCACUUAUAGAUGGAUCCGCGCCGCAUUAGCUAGUUGGUAAGGUAACGGCUUACCAAGGCAACGAUGCGUAGCCGACCCGAGAGGGUGAUCGGCCACACUGGAACUGAGACACGGUCCAGACUCCUACGGGAGGCAGCAGUAGGGAAUCUUCCGCAAUGGGCGAAAGCCUGACGGAGCAACGCCGCGUGAGUGAUGAAGGUCUUCGGAUCGUAAAACUCUUUUAUUAGGGAAGAACAAAUGUGUAAGUAACUAUGCACGUCUUGACGGUACCUAAUCAGAAAGCCACGGCUAACUACGUG
rnacentral:rRNA from 1 species